rnacentral:lncRNA from 1 species
CGACUGCUCCCUGGUGGACAAAAGUUAUACAAUAACAAAAUUCCACUUGGAUUGUAAACUUCCUCAAUCCACAGAAACCACUGUAAACACUGUAGCGAGUUGCUAUCAGUUGCGUAAAUACUUAAAUAGGUUUUUAUUGGCACAGAUAAACUGGUCUCUGGUCACAUUUCUGAUUGUGUGGAAGAGCUGCUUCUCUGAGAGUGAAGAGGAACGCAGUCUGUCAUGGACACACAGCAAGGAACUCAAAGACUCCCUCGUUGAUAUGUACAAAGAAGUGCUGACUUGGGAGCCAUUUUGGGCACAACAUCAAAUCAACUUGUACUAGAGGAACCUGACAAAGACUGGCCACAAGGUAUCUGACCUUUUUUUAAAUUCUUCUUCCUAUCUUUCAAGACACAAAAUAUAGCAUUUUGUAAAUGGAUGUUUUUCUUCAGUGCUUGAGCGCUACGCUGGCUGUAUGUACAGUGGGGCAAAAAAGUAUUUAGUCAGCCACCAAUUGUGCAAGUUCUCCGAUUUAAAAACAUGAGAGAGGCCUGUAAUUUUCAUCAUAGGUACACUUCAACUAUGACAGACAAAAUGAGGGGAUAAAAUCCAGAAAAUCACAUUGUAGGAUUUUUAAUGAAUUUAUUUGCAAAUUAUGGUGGAAAAUAAGUAUUUGGUCAAUAACAAAAGUUUAUCUCAAUACUUUGUUAUAUACCCUUUGUUGGCAAUGACGGAGGUCAAACGUUUUCUGUAAGUCUUUCUGUAAGUCUUUAUUUUGGCACAUUCCUCCAU